UCUGACUCUUCUCUCGCCCAUCCCACCAUCGCCCAUUGCUGUGACCCCUGCUGCAGCAGCUGCUAGUCUCACACACGCGUGCAGACAUCCCAUGCAGGACUCCUUCAUUUCAUGCCUCCUCUGGGCAAACACGGAGGACUGGCAGCGAGGGGGAGAAGGUGAAGGAGCUGAGGGGAUGCAGGCACACCUCAGGGCAGGCGCAGCUAGAGGCUGGGAGAAGCAGAGGAACAGGAAAAAGAUAACAGCCUCUGCUCCAAGGUUGUGCCUUGCCACCUCAGAAAUGUCGGCACUGGCACGCAGAAGGCCUGGAGAACACCGAAGGGCCCUGUUCCUCUCCAUGAGAUGUUCAAAACCACAUGAACACUUAGAGGAGAUGAACACAGCUGGGAACGGGAUCCUGGGGAAUGAAGGAACAAACUUCAUGAAGAUAACUAGUUGCUGAAGGGUCAAGAAGCCAGUGCAUACAUUUGUUUCACUGUAAGACAAAGGCCUGACACCCUGCAGGCUAAACUAACAUCUUCAGAUGUUUCCGUGGAUGCUCCAGCAGCUGCUGUUCUUGCAAGAGUCCCUCUUUAAACUGCUGCAGCCCUUCUCAUCUUGUGCUCCUGUUUGUUUUCCUGACUGGCAUUGUCUUUUAACAACAGUAAAGUAUUUUACUGAGA